rnacentral:rRNA from 1 species
AAUCAACGCUGGCGGCGUGCCUCAGACAUGCAAGUCGAACGAUUAAACUUUCCUUCGGGAAAGAUAUAAAGUGGCGCACGGGUGAGUAACACGUAAGUAAUCUACCUUCGAGUGGGGAAUAACGUUCGGAAACGAACGCUAAUACCGCAUAAUGCAGCGGCACCUAAUGGUGACAGUUGUUAAAGGAGCAAUUCGCUUGAAGAGGAGCUUGCGGCAGAUUAGCUAGUUGGAAGGUAACGGCUUACCAAGGCUACGAUCUGUAACCGGUCUAAGAGGACGGUCGGUCACACUGACACUGAAUAACGGGUCAGACUCCUACGGGAGGCAGCAGUCGGGAAUUUUGGGCAAUGGGCGAAAGCCUGACCCAGCAACGCCGCGUGAAGGAUGAAGUAUUUCGGUAUGUAAACUUCGAAAGAAUGGGAAGAAUCAAUGACGGUACCAUUUAUAAGGUCCGGCUAACUACGUGCCAGCAGCCGC